CCUACGGGGGGCAGCAGUGAGGAAUUUUGCGCAAUGGGCGAAAGCCUGACGCAGCGACGCCGCGUGAACGAUGAAGUCCUUCGGGAUGUAAAGUUCUGUCAGCAGGGAAAAUAAUGAUGGUACCUGCAGAGGAAGGCCCGGCAAACUAUGUGCCAGCAGCCGCGGUAAUACAUAGGGGCCAAGCGUUGUCCGGAAUUACUGGGCGUAAAGGGCGCGUAGGUGGCAAGCCAAGUCAGAAUUUAAAGACAGAAGCUCAACUUCUGUGCGGUUCUGAUACUAGCUUGCUUGAGGUUGGGAGAGGAAAGCGGAAUUAACAGUGUAGCGGUGAAAUGCGUAGAUAUUGUUAAGAACACCCGUGGCGAAGGCGGCUUUCUGGACCAAACCUGACACUGAGGCGCGAAAGCGUGGGGAGCAAACAGGAUUAGAUACCCGGGUAGUC
rnacentral:rRNA from 1 species